AUUGAACGCUGGCGGCAUGCCUUACACAUGCAAGUCGAGCGCGAAAGGGGGCAACCCCGAGUAGAGCGGCGGACGGGUGAGUAACACAUCGGAACGUGCCCAGUAGUGGGGGACAACCUCGAGAAAUCGAGGCUAAUACCGCAUACGACCCACGGGUGAAAGCGGGGGACCGCAAGGCCUCGCGCUAUUGGAGCGGCCGAUGUCCGAUUAGCUAGUUGGCGGGGUAAGAGCCCACCAAGGCGACGAUCGGUAGCUGGUCUGAGAGGACGACCAGCCACACUGGGACUGAGACACGGCCCAGACUCCUACGGGAGGCAGCAGUGGGGAAUUUUGGACAAUGGGGGCAACCCUGAUCCAGCCAUGCCGCGUGCGGGAAGAAGGCCUUCGGUU
rnacentral:rRNA from 1 species